rnacentral:tRNA from 1 species
UGGGUUGUAGCUCAGAGGUACAGUGCUUGUUGAGCGUACAUGAGGCACUGAGUUCGAUCCUUAGCACCACAU